CCUACGGGAGGCAGCAGUGGGGAAUAUUGGACAAUGGGCGAAAGCCUGAUCCGGCAAUGCCGCGUGAGUGAUGAAGGCCUUCGGGUCGUAAAGCUCUUUUACCAGGGAUGAUAAUGACAGUACCUGGAGAAUAAGCUCCGGCUAACUCCGUGCCAGCAGCCGCGGUAAUACGGAGGGAGCUAGCGUUGUUCGGAAUUACUGGGCGUAAAGAGUACGUAGGCGGUUAUUCAAGUCAGAGGUGAAAGCCCGGGGCUCAACCCCGGAACUGCCUUUGAAACUAGAUAACUAGAGUCUUGGAGAGGUUAGUGGAAUUCCGAGUGUAGAGGUGAAAUUCGUAGAUAUUCGGAAGAACACCAGUGGCGAAGGCGACUAACUGGACAAGUACUGACGCUGAGGUACGAAAGCGUGGGGAGCAAACAGGAUUAGAUACCCUGGUAGUCCACGCCGUAAACGAUGAUAACUAGUUGUUCGGUCACUUGGUGACUGAGUGACGCAGCUAACGCAUUAAGUUAUCCGCCUGGGGAGUACGGUCGCAAGNUUAAAACGUCAAAGGAAUUGACGGCUGAGAGNGCGAGACGACACGAGGAGAG
rnacentral:rRNA from 1 species